CCUUGUGUGCCGCUUCGGCAUCUCGCUCCAUCGUCCCCCUCGCCGGACACGGAUCCGGCCCCCUCGCCUCCCUCUCGCCGCCGCCGCCGCUCCGUCGUCCCCCUCGCCUCCCUCUCACGCUCGCCACCGCCGAUCCACCCCACCGUCUCCUACCUCCCUGGCCACGCGAUCCGUCUCUUCCCUACCCCAGAUGCCGCCCCAGCCACGGCUUUGUCGCCGAUGCCGUACCCCCCUCAGACACCGUACCGGACCCGGCCUCAUCAUUUUCGUUUCGGACCUAGCCUCAUCGUCGCUGUCGUCCCCGACGCGCACCCACGCGCCUCCCACCCUGCGCCUACCGGCGGUUCCUCUCUGCCGACCCCACCGCCAUCCCCGUGCUCCCCCGCGCUCCGUGCACCACCUCACGCCGGCCUCGCCCUUGAAGUUCACGGCAACACCCUCAAGCCGGCAUUUCCACGACGAAUCGCUCCGAUCUGAGGCCCUCAUCGUCGCCCUUGAGCGCCUUCCAUAACUGACGCCCGGCGCCCUCCCCCUCCCCCGCCGCGCCGCCAGGCCGCAGCCCCUCCUCUCCGACUCCUUCUCCGCCACGCUGCCGGGGCGCACACCAUCCUCUUCGACUCCUCUGCCGCGCCACCGGGCUGCAGCCCCCAGGCCCCCCACCACUCCAAAUCCUCCACCACCGCGUCGCCGGGGCGCUACGCGAGCUCGGCACCCCCAUCCGCGAUGCCAGCCGCCACCUACCACGCCCAUCACACCGGAGUCCAUCAUUGGCUAGGAGGAAACUCCAGCACGGCCGAUUCCCUCCGGGUUCAUAGGCACCUCACUCGCCAGAGCAGGUCCGAAUCCGGAUCCACGACCGAGACGGUGAUGAGGAUAGGGACGGCCGGCAGACACUGGAGGUGCAGGGCUCAUGCUCGGGCUCGGGGCCGCCGGCUUCUCGGCGACCAGUUCCGCUCUUUUCCCGAAAGGUCAGACGAUUGUUGCAAGCACCCGUUUUCUCUCAGAUGCAAAUCAAUCAUUGCAAGCACCCUUUCCUUCCUCAGAUGCAAAUCGAAGCAGCCAGCCAACAGCAACACGUUACAUUCCUCUGCUUCUACUCCAAGGCACGGCUCCAAAUCUAAUCCUGUUCGCUUCCCAUGCUUUCUCACCCCCAGCAUCAGAGCAGAGCCUAGCGUUGCAUCCCGACCUCCUUUGUUUCUACCUCCAAAUCCAAGCUGUAGAGCAAUGGGCAAGCACUAGAGAACAUGAUUACGAAAAUACAGAUUGGUAUAUAUGCAGUAAAGCUUGGACACUGCAUCUAAUAUUUCCUUCUCAUUGUUAACGCUCAAUGGCAAAAUGAUUGGGAAAUUUUACCCAAUUAGAUGCUUGUGUAUACUGCUUGCUUUUGUUCUCUAAUAAGUAAUAAUACCAAUUAGUUGGAGCAAGAGCCUUCCCAAAGAUUGAUCUUCGCUCUGGCUCAUCUUCUUUAUUUGAGUUGUAGUCAAUGGUUGUUAGUUGUGGGUGAUUUGUGAUCUCAAAAGCCAGAUUGUUUUCUGCUCCACAUGUGUUCGUUAGAAUGGUUAAUAGAGACCUUAUCCUAUACUCGCACACUUCCUUAGAAUUUCUUGAUAAAUAAGAUCGGCUUUUGUACCAGGGAAGUGGCAUUUAUGGUCUAAUCUCCAUGAUCUAGAGUAUCUAGCAUGAUAUUGAUUGUUGUCCAUCUUACUUGCAUACUCUAUCACCAUGGUCAUGAUUUUGAUUGUCCAACUAAAGCUUCUCGCAACUGCUGUUGAUCAUGUACAACAUUGCCCGUCCCGACGUCCGCUCUCUGAUCCUCUCAGAUGCAGUGACACACAAGGCACCAGUGCAGGGCUGCUUAAAAGCAAUCGGCAAGGCAGCAAGGAAGACGACAACAACCGGAGGUAGGAAUUUUUAAUUUUGCCUUGUCAUAUGAAUUUUUCUAGCUGUAAAGAAUAUUGAUUGUUGAUCCAUCUCUACUAUGAUCACCGAUUUACUUGCUUCACAUAUUUGUCACAUCGUUUACUAGCCACUUCACUUGUAGACAUGUAGUGUAGUCUACUAUGAUCACCUAUAGACAUGUAGUGUAGUCAAUAAUCAUGGGUGCCCUUCACUUGUGGUGUGCCUCCUUGCCGCUCGAUGAUAUCUUGUUUUUUCACUAAUCUGUGGCCCUCUUUGCUUAAAUGUUGACACAUUCAUCAGAUUUUAAUGUUCCAAUAUAAGCCAUAUUUACAUAUUUGGCAAUACUGGAGCCUGCGACGGUCCUUUCCAUGGUGCUCUAAUCCUAAUCCCUUCUAUAGUUCUAUUGCAAAUAAAAAAGGGCCCUGACUUGAAGUGCUUAUUUUUUUAAUUCGUAUUCAGCAUCUGGCGUCUGCAUGUAAAGUUGGUUUGUUUCAGUUGACUUGAAAAUUUAUUUUGAUUGCGCGCUGUCAUCUAAUGUGAAAAAAUAUUUUGCUUGUACACUGCCAUCACUCUUCACUUGCAUCUGAUUCAUUCAGAGUUCUAUCUAGCAAUUUGUGUUGAACUUCUGUCAAAUGUUGGCAUUAUAAGUUAACUGAAUAUAUUUUAAUGGUUUCAAUUAAGUCAUAAUGUUGUUCCCUGCUGUUAGCCUGUUACCUUGGUCUUCUGUGGUUUGAUCCCCCCUCUGCACAUUUAUUCUACGGUCAAUCCAUGAGGGUUUCAUGUAUAUUUGGUCCGAAUGGAAGGCUUGACUGGUUCAACAUGGACAUUGUCAGAGAGUGUUGGACCAAGGAUAAAGGCCCCCACCCCUCCCACUAUAACACCUGGGUUUUAUGGUCGGGUUGGCUAGGUGGGGCGCGCUAACAUGGUACCAGAGCCGAGGUCCUGGGUUCUAUCCCUCCCGGCCACGCAUUUCCGCUGCGCGAUUUCCCCUGCGUCUCGUGUGCUGAGACCUGCUGCGAGCUACGCCGGGCACUAGAACCUGCUGCGGGCUACGCCGGGCUCGCACGCCGUAGGGGGAAUGUUGGACCAAGGAUAAAGGCCCCCACCCUCCCACUAUAACACCUGAGUUUUAUGGUCGGGUUGGCUAGGUGGGGCGCGCUAACAGAGAGAAUCAACGCUACUCUUCAAACUUAUGGAAGUUAUACUGAUCUGAUUAUGGGGAUUCUCGGGGACAUGGAUACUGAUACUACAGGAUUCCAGUGGUAAUGAAGGGCUAUGUAUACGUGACCAAUGUAAUGUCGAGGUGUGUACCAUGGGAAUGUAGGGUUCAUUAACGGGAUGGGGGAAAAGUGGGGUAGACAGGGGACUAUAGUCUCAUACUUGGUUUGAUCAGAGGUGCAAAGUAAUGAUAACAAAACAAAGAGGGUGCCAUAAUAACCACUAAAGGAGACAGGAGAUCCUUGAAUUACGAGAACUGAAGUUGCAGACGAGAAAGGCAAAGGCUGUUGUAGCCAGCACAAAUGGCCUCUCACCUUCAAUGCAUGUUAGCACAUAAGGGAUAACAAGUAAGUGUGCUUUACCUAUUUCACAUUCAUCAGCAGCAUUUACUUGUUUAAAAAAACAGUCUUUGAAUUCAUGCCAUUCAGAAAAAUUCAGAUUUGCAUGGUAGAUAACAAUAGUCUUCUGAAAUAUCUCCUAUCCCCUAAAAGUUCACCUAUACUAUUGACCAUUAUAUUCUUUUGUGAAUUGUAUGCCACUGGAAAAUUUACAUUUCAUUUAGCUAUUACAUGUUUAGUUUUCAGUGGUUAUGAUGUUGUUCAACCAAUUUUCUACUAUAAAGGAAGAACCAAAUCUCUACCAUCAUACUCAAAGAUCCUUAGUUUGAAGUAUAGAUAUAAACAUUUUGCAAUUGGUAAUUGGACUUGUUUCCUAUACAUGAAUUAAACUGGGCUACCUUUUGCUACUUAAAAAAUUAAAAUAAUAGAAUGAAUACUUCAGUUAUGGAACAUAAGCAACAUACUAACGGUGCAAUACAUUGUUUGGUUCUGAAAUCUAAAAGAGACACUCGUGCAAUUAAUCAAACAGGUUCUGAGACUAAUCAAUCCUUUUGUUUUGGGAUGGUACGUGAGGUGGAAAUUGAACUUGCAGCAGCUGGUACUAUACCUCAACACACCAUCAGUGAUAUGCAAUACAUCAUGACCAUUAGGAUAGGUAUUUGAUUCAGCGGCUUGCUUUGCAGUCAUUUAGUGAUGACACGGACUGUUGGUACAGUAUGAAAAGGAGGCACUAAUUCAGUGAUACCUGAUCUUAAUUGUCAAGUGUUUGUUCAGGUAUUGUAGCAUGCUAACUUGUUUAUCAUGUGUUUGUGAAACAGCCUACAGAUAUGUACAGUUUACUUGGAUAUGUGUGUGUUGUCACUGAAAUAGAGAUGGAGAAUCUACAGGGAUGGAAGCUGCAUAGGGUUGCUGACAAGAUGAUGGGGGGAUUUUGAUUAAAGACAUCGAGUGCCGUCGUUUCUAUGGGUAUUUAUGGGAGGGGCGGGGGGGGGGGGGGGGUGCUGUUUAGCUGGAGGCUGGAGCUCUUGUUUGUGCUUUCGUACAUACUUGAUUGUCCAUAUUUUCACAUGAUUUGUUUGUGCUUUGACACUAUUAUGUACAUAAAUUAACCUCAAAAAAUAUAUUUGCUAAGAUCAACAUCAUUUUACCUAUGUUGUGUAUUGCGCUAAAUUUUUUUUGCCACCCAUAGCAAUACACGGCAUUCAACUAGUUAAGAAAUAGAUGCAUAAAUUUAUGCUCAAUGGACAUGUAAUAUAUCUAUACUAGUUAAUGCUUUUGGUGGACA